UACGUAGGGUGCAGCGUUGUCCGGAAUUAUUGGGGCGUAAAAGGGACGUCUGCUGAUGGAGGCCGGGUUUCUUCGGUCCGGCUCGUUCGGGGAGUCGUAAAACGUUCGAAAAAGGGCCCCUUGAAACCCGGUGACGCCUUCGAACCCUUUCCCGGGGACCUUGACCGGGAGUCAGGGGUAACCGGGUACGAAGGGAAUCAUUAGACAGGGGGUAGGAACC
rnacentral:rRNA from 1 species